UGUCAUGGCGAGCUGUGCGCAGGAGGCUUCGGCCUACCGGGAGGGUUCCUCAAGCACCGGUCUGCAAACCUGCGCAUGGCUUGCCACCUUC
rnacentral:antisense_RNA from 1 species